rnacentral:lncRNA from 1 species
ACUGGAAUAAAUAAAUGAUUCUUCGCAGCAGCUACAGUUUACCUUAUUGACAUAGUGGACUAGAAAGAGAUUAGCAGGUGCUGUUAUGCUUAAUUGCUCCGAACUUUGAAGUACUCUGACGGAAUUCUUUAUUGAUUAUGGGACAUCUAUUAUCUCAAUCAAGUUGAACAAGUGCGACUACCAUUAUAGAGAUGGGCUUUAAUUGAGAUAAUUGUCAUCAUACAAAAACUUAUAACUAACGUGGUUAAUACUUGGCUAAUAAAGCGGAAUCAAUGAAUUGUCAAAACAAUACAUACAAAUAGUGAAAUCAAAGGGAUAGAAAUUGCAGUUCACAGAGAACAUUUAUGUCGCUUUCAUCAAUAAUUGCUUUUGUGAACAUGGUUAGUCAUGAAAAUCUAAACCGCUAAUUUCUUUUGGUGACCAAGUACUGAUCAUAAAGCUUCAACUGGAAUACUUCCUGUUGAGGAUACUAAUAGUAUAAUCUCAAACUAUUAGGUAGGUGUAUUUUUUGAUUUUAUUUUAGAAAGUUAUUUAUAAAUGUGUGUGCUUUGAGUAUCUUGUAAGUUUAUUAUGUUUGUAUACAUGAUUAAACAACAACAACAACAACUAAGCCUCAGUCCCAAAUAACUAGGGGUUGGUUAUAUGAAUCAUCACUGGCUGUGUUUCUCUAUUUAAAUUCAUCUCAGGCCUUUAUAUGCAUGAUUAAAUAGAAUAAAUUUACGGUAAGAUCAAUAUUAUCCUUAUUUUAAUCCUUUGAUACAUUUAUUCAAUUUUCAUAGAAAAGGUGUACAAAGAAGAACCCUUCUUAAGGGAUGUGUUGAAUAUAUAUAGAAGGUUUGCAUAUGACCUCCCGUAGACGGGAAGUAUUUCCACUUGGCUAUGUAAAGAAUUCCAAUAUUAGGAAGUAUUGUAAUUGUAAAAGGCACUAUUUCCAUAUGAGUUAUGGAACCCGACACUAAAAUUUAAAAUAUAAAUUAGAAAGUUCUUCUAUUACAUGGUACAAAUGCCUGUGUGUAGCUUUUGUCUUAAACUACGAACAUCUUCUACUAGUGUCUGAUAUCAGUUACUCCUUCUAUCCCAAUUUAUGUGGCACCGUUUGGAUUUCGGAAGUCAUACUUCUUAAUUUCGACCGUGAAUUUGAACAUAGAAUCUUUCAGUUUUAUGCAAUAAAAUUUACAUGUUUGGAAACUAUGUAGAAAGUAUUAUAAGUCACAAUAAUUAACAAUUUAAAAUAUUUAAAAGGUAUAUGUAAUAUGACGGCCAAAGAAAAACUCGUUUGACUCUUGAAAUCCGAAUGAUGCCACAUAAAUUGGGACUGGGGGAGUAUAUUACUAUAUUACUACUAGAUAAGUGAGUUGCUUCGAUACGACAAUUUAGGUGCCGCGCCCGUGUCGACACGAUACUAGUGUGGGUGUGGGUAUGGGAUCCGCACCGGAUCUGGUCAAACGAUUUUGGGUACUUUGACCAUGAUGGACAGAAAAAUUCGAGACGAGAUACAAUUUGAUUCACGAAAUCAGAACAAAAACUAGAGUAAAUUUGGGAAAUCAAUCCCUUACUUUUUGCUUCUCCUCUUGAUUGAGCAGAAAGAGCAGCAAAGAGUGUCAAUUGAGAUUGGGGAAGACACAACGUUCGACAAUUUGGGAAAGUGCAAGACCUUUGACUUUAUUUGGAUAUUAUUAAUAUUUAAUAAUAUUGUACCCUUUGUAGUGAAAACUUGACACACACUAAGUCUGAUUUUUAUAAUAAUAAUUAGAGAACUAAUCUAAAUUAUGAAAAUUAAUAUUUAAUUGUAAACGAAAGAUAACUAUUAAAAAGUUAACUUGUAGGAGAAUCCGAGAAUGACUAAACUCAAUAAAUCAUGCCUACAACUUGAAAAAAUAUCCACACUUCACAAGUUAUAUAGCUAAGUAUUCCACAAAAUUUUCUCAUAAUUUAGAGAUAUUUUUAUUUUUUAUUUUUUGAAUUAUUUUUAGCUGGAUCCCUGCACCGGUAACCAUACUAGGAUCCGCAUCCCCGAAUCUUAGAACUUACAUCUCAAAGGAUCCAACCUCUAGAUCCGCACCCGUGUAGGACACCCGCACCUGUGUCCGAGCAACUUAGCUGGAUAAUCAUAGUCGAGAAGAUUCUUAGAUCAUAUAUGGGGCCUUCCUUUUUGGAAUGAGAAGCUCACAAGUAUUAAUUUAUCAUAAUCAAAUAGGAAACUUCAAUCUUCUAAUUACUUUGUUCGAAGUUAUAAAAGUUUUAUUCAGGAGUUACAUUUUGAGAAACUCUUGUUCCAAAACUCGACAUGGAAACCUUUUGCGUUCAUUAUUUAUUACUCCAUCUAUUACUUUACUUCAAAUAUAUUCUUGUAAAAAUAAUUUGAAAAUCAUUUUCUCUAUUUUUGGAUGUAUUUUUCUUCAACCUUUACCUGUUCUAGUCGAAGUAAGACAAUAAACAUGGGAUAGGAAGGGUAUGAAUCUUGUUGUUGAUGCUGAUAAGUGUCCUAGUUAGAGGAACAGGUUUUGACGAUCAAAAGCUAACAUUUUGGUAUUAUGAAUGUGCCUUUUAGCUAAGGUUUGUUCUGUACCAUUUAUGCUUCACAUAGUUGUAACAUCACAUGGUAUAGCCAAUGGAGGUGAAAAGAUGAAAACGGGUUUGCAGGUAAGAGAAGGAAACUUGAUCUGAAAGCCAGCUACCUGGAUUAAGUGUUUUACUUAUGAAGCCUAAGUUGCAAGGUUUAUAUUAACCUAUCAUUUAAAAUUUUGCCACUUCCCACCUUCCUUUACAAGGGAAAAAUAUUUUCACCCGUUUUGCUCCUCUCUUUUCGUUUCAAGCUUUUUUUCAUCAGUGCUCAAUCUGAACUUGCUCUUUCUUGUGCUCCUCGCACCCCACACACACGCACACACACAACGGAAAAAGAAGAAAGAAAGAAAAAUAAAAAUGUUGAAAAGGGAGAUCAAGACAUGGCAUGUUUAAGCAGUGAGCGGAUGAAGACACGAAAUAGAUCAAUAGGAUCUUAUCUAGAGGAUUCUAUCUUACAGACUGAGCAGCAACUGCGAUGUUACCUGCUCUCAAGGAACUUACAUGACUGGCUAUUGGGUCAUGAACUGAGGGUUUAUAAUAUUUUCUGGCGUUUCCAGAAUUGAGAUGGGUUUCAAUAAUUGAACUCAUUCCCUCUAUGUUUGCUGUGCUACCAGUUGGCUAGAUAUUGUGAUACGAGUUUUUUAAUGUAUUGAAGAUUGUUAACUGUCAUCUACUUCGCGUUAAAUUUUGGGACUCCGCCACUAAUCAAGUGUAUACAUCUUAUCUGAAGUGUGCCAUAUUGCAUUUUCUGGUGCAUUACAGAAAAGCUCAAUGCUAAUAAUCUUCUCAGAUCCUUACUUGCCUCUGUAUUUAAAACAGACUGAAGGAAACUUUUGAAAUUUACAUUGCUGUCAAAUCUUUAGUGAUUGAGGAGACCUUAUCCUAAAACUGAAAUACCUAUUUCUUUGGUAGAAAACUUUCUUCCCUCUAUACAAAAAGAAGACUUUAACUUCUCGUAGCAGCAGCCUUUUAGGGAAAUAUUUAAUGAAGUAAUGAAUGUCAAAGCACAUAUAACAUAAAUAACACCAGCAUAAGAUGAAAAUGGUUGCAAUAGCAGCCAACACAACUAGCUGUGUCUCUUCACAAUCUAGAAACCAGAUGAUUGACUUAUUGACAUACCCUUACUCUGGUCCCUGUAUGAUGUAGAGAGACUUUAUUUUCUUGUACCCUUGAUUUUCCCCCAAUCUUUGAAGAACUUCCAUUUUGUAUGGCCACAUGGUCUAGUAUAUAGUUGUUAAUCCUGAGAAGAAAAUAGAAUGCAAACAAGCAUCCUUGUUAUGAAAUAUAGAUUGAGGAUAAAUACCCUUAGAGGCGACAGGAUGUAUUUCUUCCAUGGAAUCCAUCCAAAUCAACAUGCUUGUGGGUAAGAACAUUAGAGACGAACAUCAAAUUCGACAGAUUAAAAAUUACUACAUAAUACAUUGGAAAUUUGGUUGGUCCAAAAAACUCAUGUUUUUAUUUUAUUUUCUUAUUUUGGUUUUUAUAAAUUGUGCAAACCAGAUGAUAAGAGUUCGUUUUGCAUGCCAACUUAAAGUAUGUGCAUGCAUGUAUUGAACACUUACAGAGAUGAAUUCUCAUUUCGAAAAUCUGAUGAGCAAGAACCGUUAUUUUCUGCUGUAGUGAAUUGAGGCUUUGAGUCUUCUAUAGCAGUACUUGGUGAUAUGAGCAGCAUUGCUCCAUUACCAAUCUCAUCUGGAGGAAUACUUUUGCUCUUUUGGUAGAUUAGAAUCUCUUCUUCAUUUGCAAAUGUAUUGGCAAACUCUGGUUCUUGUAGCAUGUGGUAAAGUUGCCUAUGAAGUCUUUCGACAGGUGACAAAAUAUAUUGUUUAAGCUUUGAUCUCUUUCUUUUCGGAACACUGUUAGGAUUCCAGAGAGGACCUUUGGCUGCUUCUCCUAACAAAAGGUGAACAAUAACAAUCAAACAUCAAUGAUAUUUUCAUAAUUGGAAGUCCAAAAUUACAUUAGAUUUUUGACAAUAUUAAUCUAUCAAAUCAAAGAAAGUUUGAAGCAAUGAGAAGUAAUAACAAAAACACAUAUUGAUAGUUUAUAAAGCAAUGUUUAACGAUUGCACUUCUAUUGCUUAUUAAGAGCCCUAAUGUGAUUGAACAUUUCAUUUGACCAUAGAUAUUUAAAAAUCACAGUAAGGGUUAAUAAUACAUCUUCCUGCAUAAUAUAAAUUGUGUCAGCCAGAGUGAACUUGAUUCUUUAAAACAAAAAGUGUAUAUAGAAUUGGACUGAAUCAAUUUAACCGGAUCGGUUGAACUCUAAAACUUGUUUAUCUGGUAUUUCUGUUUACUUGUUUAACUGUACAAACCUAUCUGAGAUUUAGACUAUAUGUUUGUAUAUUCUGAAUAAAAUAAGAUCUGUUUUGAUUAUACAUAGUCGUACAAUUUGGUUCAGUUAACAUACGCCUGAUAAUGAAGAUAAGAUUUGGAUGUUGUGUCUUAGGCCUGCAACCAUGUGGUCCUAAAGUCAAGAGUGACUGAUAAUAUGAUUUUCUAGGCCAAAGUGUGAUGAAUGUCAUAGUUGUAAGACAUCUAAUUUAGCUCUGAAGGGAUUUGACAAGCCGAUUUCUGUUGCCAAAGUGUUUUGCCUUCUCUGUCUUUAGCGUUUAACAUCAGCAUAGUAUCGAUGAAGCGAAACAUCUAAAUUUCACUUCUCCUAUUGGAAGUGCAGUUACUUCUUAUCCUCUCUUCAUAGUAUGAUACCUAAUCAGUUGCCAUGCUCUUCCGUCCUUUGGCACUUUAAACUCUAAAGCUAAUCUUUAUAGUUGAAAAGAGUAUGACAAAGUGAAACUUGAGAGAAUGUAUCAUUUAGCCUUAUAGUCUACUAUUCAACUUUGCUACUGGUUCCAUAGCAAAUAACCUAUUGAACUGUAAGAGGCUGGUCUGCUUCACAGCACAUUCAUAAGGUGGGGAACCAUUUCUACUUGCUGCACAACCCUAAAAUUUGCAUAACACUGGGUAAGUUUAUGAAGUAAUUCUUAACAGAGGGUGACCAUGAGACCCCAUGUUCCCUUUUGCACGCAGUGAAAUAUCUGACUUGUCCUAUAAGGAUAUCAGUUCAGUUUGUUGGAGCGUCUCUGCUUAGUUACAGGAAAGCAUAAGUACUUAUCCUUAGGCUGACAGUUCAAAAUUCUCCCAUCAUGAGUGCCAGGAAGUUACAUAUAUGACUCCCCACUUUGUCAAAAGUUACAUAUUAAGAGUCUCUGUCCUUUCUUAAAGGUUAAUGCUAAUAAUGAGUGGAAGCAAGAACGAAAAGAAAAACAGGGAGAAGAAGGGAAAAGAAAGACUGUUUACACUAGUGUUUCCUGAACAAUCUAUAAGAACACACAUAGGGAUUAAUUAAUCAAACGGAUGACUAUUAAAUUCCAUGUGUUAUCUAAGGAGAAGGUAAACAUAAAAAUUGGCCACAAGUUUAAGCAGCACACUGUGAAAGUAAAGGGAGUUAUUUUAAGUUUAAUUGGCCAAACAUCAACGAGAACUGUUGGUAUAAAGUAUAUAGUAGGAGUAAACUUUUGUAUUUUAUGUACUCACGGGAAUCCUAAAAUUUAAAUGACCAGUUGGAGAUUGGUAGCUUGCCAAUGGAAGCUUCUAUUCCCACUGUCACUGCUGUUGGGUCUGAGAUUCUUUCCCUUCUUCUCUAUUUUAUUUUAAGUUUUGUGCGUGUAUGUAUAUCUGUUUAUGUACUGCUACUACCAUUUCUCAGAAUUAUCCAAAACAAGCUUUUUUUCCCCAUUUUUUUUGGGGGUGGGGUGGGGGUGGUGGGGGGAGGGGGGUUAGCGGGGUUGAAGACCAAAAACUGCAGGGAUCAUCAAGGUGCUUCUCGAAAAUUUAGCUUUCCUGAUUUCACAUAUCCCAAAAUUUUCCUUAAGCUAUACUAUGAAAACAAGUGGCCGCAAAAUGAAUAGGGAGCGAUUAUCUGGGCAAACAAAUGGAAGACAACUGACCAGAUUGAAUGGGGAGUAAUUAUCUUCGUACAUUUUACUUAAACCCUUCAGUUUAUGUCUGGGCACGAUUCAAAGCAUGCUUGUUAAUUAGAUAAAGAAGUCAAGUGCCAUGAACAUAUAACUAACUAUUUUACCACUUGUAUAGAAAUACAACUGAAUUAUUUUACCAUUUGUUCCUUGCAUCUGCAUGCAGUUCUCUGAGAGUGAUCCUGGUGACCCUGAGCUUGAUAUGUCAUCUAUUUCCUCUUCACUACAAGCAGAAGAGCCAUCAGUUCCAGCAACCUUUUGUCCAACUUCUAGCCUUUGGUUAUCAUGAGCCAAGACAAGCGGCUUCACAUCAGAAGGUAACUUGGCCAGUAGAAAGCUUUGAGUUUCUUUGUUGGCGUGUUUUGGGAUAUAGUCGUUCAGACUCCCCUUAAUCCUCCAUCUUGAUCCACAAGCAUUGCACAGCACUGGCUUUUCAGGUGGUCCAGGUCUCCAAAGUGGAGUAUCUGUUUAAGUUCACAGUUCAUCAGCGCUGAAACUAUGAAACAACUAUAAAGGAAUUCUCUACAGCUGAUAAAGUUGUCCCAGAAACUGCUCAAGCAUAGAAUAAUUGAAAACAACUAUGAACAUAGAGCAAUAAAUCAGAAGUAUUAUGAAACUAAAGCUACAGCGAUUUUUUGGCAAAACCAGUGGAAAGCGCAUCCAUGUAAGAUAUGCCUCGACUUUUAAGAAUAUGUAAAAGAAAGUUUGUCCUUUGCAUUUUCUUCACCAGUUAAAGGACCCAUACAAAUUGAGGUAAACGGUGGUCGACAAAUGAUUAAAUGAAUAUGAAUCAUGAAGUAAAAUGAGUAAAGACAAUAGGUCUUGUUCAAAUCAGGAAACAUCAGAGAUUUGCACUGUAAAAAAGCUCAUGGAUUGACGCUUCACGGCCGUCAUAGACUGUCCACUUUGUCCUAAUUAACUGUGAAGAUAUAUUUUUCAGACUGCUGGCUUUGUCCUAAUUAACUGUGAAGAUAGGAUGCCUUACACUCAUCAUAAACAGACUCGCAGAUUGAGGCUUCAUAGCCUUCUUGUCCAUCAAAUACUGUAUCCAAACAAGCAUGAUGACAUACCCUUCUUCUACAUAAGUGUUAGAGAUAUUCGUAGAAUCUUGGACUAACUUUGGAGGGAGAGCAAGAAAAGAUCGCUAUGCAAUUUGGAUAUCACAAAUUAUCGAGAAAGACUAUACUUGUUUGAAGUAUUUUAUUGGCUUUAUGUAUUCCUCUUCCUUACAUAAUGGUGGCAAUCUCUAUUUCUAUUACGAAUCUGUUGCUUUAUAUGUGUUACUAGUUAUGCGUUUGCUUCAGGAGGCCAGUAUUUUGACUGCACUCGAUAUCGAGAACACAGGCGUUAUAGUGGGUAAUUCUCACUUUUCAUUUUAAAUUUUUCCCUCUUGGCCAUCCAACUUAUGUCACUAGAGAUUCUAGUCUACUGCCUUGGUUUAGUUCGUGUCAUAUAACAUGGCUUUCUGAAAAUGCUUAGUGUCAAAUCAUUCAUUGGCUAAUCAAAUUUGGCUGCUCAAAGAGAUUUUAAGGAAGAGCUAUGGAACCAGUUUUGCAACUGCAUUUUACUGCCUAAUAUUUCUUAGGAUUUUGUGUAUAAAGCAUGAAACAAGCUGUCAAUACAUAUUGACUUUAGUUUAAUGCUUUCUUAGUGUAUGGCAAAGCUACUGGCGAGGUGGUACUUUGAUUUCAUCUCUUACCUCUAAUGAUACAAGUUCUUAUGAUUUCACUUCCUGCAGGAUUCCUAAGGGAUACAUACCUAUCAGGAGACCACAUGUUCAAAGGUAAUAAAACAAUGUAAUCAAUGUCAAUCUGGUAUCAGUUGGUCCCUUUCCAUCCUUUUCUUUUUGGGAAAAAUAAUAUAUUUCCAGAUAUAUGCCUAGGUCUUGUUAAUCGAAACACUGAACAAAGACUUAUUCCUGUAAGAACAUCAAAAGCUGGUUAAAAUGCCGAUGCACUCUCCAACCAUGAUCAGCGAACAUUUGGUAAUUACACUUUAUACUUCACACUUCUUAUACUGUGGUCUUUGAGUUUUAAAUAUUGACUGAGGGCAUUAUUGUAAAGUUAUAUGUCAAUAAACAAUAGCAUGAAAAUCGCAUGUGCACAUUCAGUACUUUCUCCUCUGUGUCUGUGGCACUCUCAUUUCAUUUUCUGUUAGGCAAAACCCCGGAAACUGCUACAAUUAAGACUUAAGGAUCAUUGCCAAAAGUUUAAAUAAAUGGGAAUAAAUAGUGUGAUGCAUAUGAUUGGGGACCGACUGUGCAAUUAUCCUAUAUGAAUUCACUGCACGUGAAACUAAUGGUUGCUGUAUCUGAAAUCAACUGCUAUUUGAGUGGAGAGGUAACAAAGUUAAAGAAGUUCCAUUUUAUUCAUCCAAACAGAUAAAUCGUUUUAGGAAAUUCUAAAUAUCGGGUGUCAUGCAUGCAAGUUUUAAAUUCCAGUAAGAUCAGAGAGAAAAAUUAAGCAUUUGAAAUUCUGUAUCUUGACGAUUGAUAUCAACAAGAAACAUUCAAUUGAAGAACGAGAUGGAAGAUAAACAUGCAAGAUGUGAUAAAGGUUGUCAAAAGAACUCACGCCUGACACCACAAUGGAAACACGGCCCUUCUCUUCCCAUGAGAUGUGCUUGCAGAGGAUUCAGGUUUGACUAUGCUGUUGCUAACCGUUAAGCUUCCAAAAUUGUUGCCAGAAUUUAAAACAUAUGAGUGAGAACACAAAGUAACCAAAUGGAAAAAGGAACUGAAAAUAAAUUCAGUAGGCUAACAGCUGAUCGUUUCCGUGGCAAUAGAUUAUAGCUUUGUCAUUAACUACUAUCCUAUUUGCAAUAGUACCAUACUCCACUUUGGACAGCUCAUCAAAUUUUACUCGAGAACAUUUUCUCAAAAAUUGACACGAUAACUCCAACAGGAAGAACUUAAAAGCUCUUAGAUGUGGUAAAUCUUACCAAUUAGGCCUUUUGUCAAGCACUCAAGCCUUAUUACCGAUGAAUCUGAAGGCAAGAAACUAUAGAAAGUUUUUAGACUUUAUUUAAAUGAUAGAGUUGAGCAAAUAACAGAGGCGAAAAGACAAUGCUGAUCUUAGUAUUCUGGAAAUUCUGGUCUGAUUGAGAUUUGAAAAAUCCAAGGAGAAAGGGCCACAAAUUACAUUACUAAACAGAUUCAGAAAAGAAAGAAUGUAUUCAAUUUCAUUCCAAUUCUGGAAAUUGUAGGAAUCAGAUUUAGAUUUGAAAAAUCCAAGGAGAAAGGCUCACUAUUACAUCACUUAGCAGAUUCGGAAAUGCAUUCUGUUUCUUUCCAAUUCUGCAUUUCUGCACUGUUUCCCCUGCACCAAUACACAGGUUGAAAAACCUUUCUGCCUAGUUUUGUGAUUGGUCUGGUUGAGAGUACUGCAGGUGGAUACAGGUCACAGAGACUUAGAUAUACAUUCAUAUUUGGUAACGAAACCUCAUUUCUUGAAGCACAUUCAGAAAACAUAAAUAUAAGCACUGAGUUGGUUUUUUCCGUGUUAAUUUUCAGAAAAUUUAAUUGCUGAUACUGUUGGGUCAUGUUUGGGAUUCGAUUGUCUAUUUUCGUCUUCUUGAGCUGAGGGUCUCUCGGAAACAACCUCUCUACCUCUCCAGGGUAGGGGUAAGGUCUGCGUACAUUCUACCCUACCCAGACCCCACUUGUGGGAUUUUACUGGGUUGUUGUUGUUGGGUCAUGUUCACUCAGCUAUCUGCAGUUUGCAAAUGCUUGUGUCUUAGGGACUUCCUGAACUUGAAGGUUCUCUCUUCUGCUUGGCAUUUUUGUUGUUAAUUUAAGAGGAACUUACUACAACUUCUGAUGUCCCAAGAAGUGCUUCUGCAAUCUUUUUCCGUAACGCGAUAUCAGUGGCGGAGCCACCUUACAGGAAGGGGUGUCAAAUGACACCCCUUCGCGGGAAAAAUUCACCGUGUAGCUAGGUAAAAAAAUAAUUAUAUGUAUAUGUACUAUGUAUUGACUCCCCUUAAUGUUUUGGUAUGCUUACUUUUAUAUAUUUUGACACCCCUUAACGAAAAUUCUGGCUCCGCCACUGCGCGAUAUGACUCAUCUGCGCAAGAAUGCCCCUGCUGUUGAGAUGCUAUUCAAUUACGAAUCUGUGCUUAGUUUAACACAGUCAUGUAUGUCUCCGUUUUCGAAACUUCAUGCAUCUAGCAUAUUCAUGUUAUUAAUGUUGUUUCUCUAACUUGCUUACAGAAAUAAGAAUAUUUAUUUCAGAAAUGCAUUACAUAUCCAUGCUAUACAGAGAAGAUUGAUAUUUUUGCCUGCUCAUUUGGCAUAGCAUGAUCCUUUACAGAAUCUUUAAGUGAAGCACUUCCAAAAUUUUGAUAUAUUUUGGUAAUAACCUCCGCUGCAUGUAAGGGUGGCAAGUGGAUCGGUCCGGGCCCGGGACCGUUGGCCUAGUGGGCUAAGUGGGCCGGGACCGGUAGGACCACUAGAGGUGGGCUUGGGCCGGUUCUUGCCUUUGAACCGUUAGGACCGGGUAAAUGAAAAUAGCCAACGGUUAUUUUNAAAAAUAACCGUUGGCUAUUUUCAUUUAACCCCAAACUUUUUAUAAUUACAUCUUUUCCUUAUUUUCAACUAUAAAUACCCCCUCAUUCUUUCAUUUUUCUUACAAUAUCAAUAUCAAUCUAUCACAAUCUCAUUCCAUAGGGGGAGGAAGACUAAGAAAGAUAUUACCAUAUUUUUUUAAUGCUAUAAUAAAAUUACAAGGCAUUGCUUUGAAUAUCUCUUUACAAUAUUUUUGUCUUUAAAUUUGAAUUAAAAAAUUUAGGUCACAAUUCUAUAAUAAAUUUACAAGGUAUUGCAUUAGAUAUUUUUUUAACAUUUUUUUGCCUCUAAUUUCUAUUUAAAUUUUUUUUUUAAAAUCAAUUUUUAACCGUUGGGCCCACGGGCCUGGCCCGUUUAGCCCGGGACCAUGAGUUCGUGGGCCCGGUUCCGGACCGGUUCCUACAAAAAGACCGUUUAGUCCGGGAUCGUUAAGCCCAUUUAUUUAAGGACCGACCCGGGACCACGGCCCACUUGGCCCGCUUAGGGCCCAGACCGACCCACAUGCCACCCCUAGCUGCAUGUAUGGAGAAACUUAAGUCUUGUGGUUCUUAACAAUUUAGGCUACUAUCUCAGAAGUUAAGAAGCUCUUUAUCACAGAAUUGGUGUCGUUCAUCCUUGGUAGCAAAAAUGUGUUUGUCCUUGUUUGCCUGAUUUAGAAAAGUUAGGAUUCAGGCGAAUAAUUGUCUGAAGUGUAUGCUGUAGGUCUGACCUACUACAACUUUGUAGCUACAAAUUCAAUUUGGUGUACGUGGGGCAGUUAUGAAUGACUAUGCCAUUGAGUAUGAUUUGAACUAACUCCAAAGCGAAGGUGGGAAAUGAGGAAAUUUUAUCAUCCAUGUUAUGUGUUAUCCAGAUGUCUUUCUUAUGGUGCUUACUCUAUAUUUCAUCAUAUGCUUAUGCAAUGUGGAUUUGCAGCGUUUGACGAAGUUCCUCUGCACAUUCUCCAUCGGGUUCCUGCCCAGCUUCAAGGUAGUGUAUUUUCCAGAACUAAUACAAUGUGCUUCUCAGAAUCACAGGCUCACCAGUAUCAUG